UACAGAGGUGGCAAGCGUUGUUCGGAAUUACUGGGCGUAAAGGGCGCGUAGGCGGUUCGAUAAGUCCCGUGUGAAAUCCCUCGGCUCAACUGAGGAACUGCACGGGAAACUGACGGGCUUGAGUUCGGGAGAGGGAAGCGGAAUUCCGGGUGUAGCGGUGAAAUGCGUAGAUAUCCGGAGGAACACCGGUGGCGAAGGCGGCCCACUGGAUCGGUACUGACGCUGAGGUGCGAAAGCGUGGGGAGCAAACAGG
rnacentral:rRNA from 1 species